AUUGCACUGUUAAUAUAGAUAUAUUAAAUUGUGUUCNUUCCAGGGUGGACGAGGUGGAUCAUACAGCAGCAGCAGUAGCAGCCAGUAUGGACAGGGUGGACAAAGCAGUUCCUAUGGCAGCAGCCAAUAUGGACAGCGUGUACAAAGCGGAUCUUAUGGCAGCAGCCAAUAUGGACAGGGUGGAUCCUAUGGCAGCAGCCAAUAUGGACAGAGCUCACAGACAAAUACAGGCUACAGCAGUAACAGAUGUGAUGAAGGUGAUGCCUCUACCUACGGUUCAAAAGCUCUGAGCUCAGCAAAUUGCAGAGGCAAAAGAGAUGUAGCAACUCAAGAUGCAUUCAAUACAUUCAUCAGAAAAAUUCAAGAGAAAAGGGCAGCUCCUCCAGCUCCAAUGAGAAAGCCUCAAAGUAAAAAAGUCCGUGCCCUCAGAGCAGCUCGAAGUGAAAAAGUAAGAACUGCCUCAGAAAAUCUUCCUCGUUUUGGCUCUGGAUUUUAACAGCCUAAGGACGUAGGCCUAAGUACAAAUCUGUGGUACAGUUUUCACAAGAUAGGAGGCAGAUUUCACUUCAGGCAGAUCUCUUUCAAACAAAACUUAAGCCUAGAGUUCCCUUCAUCUGGAACUCCUUAUUGAUUUUCUGCAUAAGAAAGAAAAUAAGUUAGUAGUAGUGUUUGAAGAAUAAUACAUUUGAAACUAUCAAAAGUAGUGUAGUCAUUUUAUUAUUUAAAGAGGCGUAUAAAUUGGAGUCUGUAUAUACUAAAAACGAGAUCAGAAGUCACUUUUAGCUAAGUUUUUCAUUUUUUUUUCUUUUUAGGUAGUGUAGUUUGUUUUUCUUUUUUUGCGUAUGAAUAUGUAUUCUGUUGUAACUUUUAAUGUUUUCUGAAAAUGUAAUAAAAUUAUUUNAAAAAAAG
rnacentral:lncRNA from 1 species